GACGAACGCUGGCGGCGUGCUUAACACAUGCAAGUCGAACGGAAAGGCCCUGCUUUUGUGCGGUGCUCGAGUGGCGAACGGGUGAGUAACACGUGAGUAACCUGCCCCUGACUUUGGGAUAACUUCAGGAAACUGGGGCUAAUACCGGAUAGGCGCUCCUGCUGCAUGGGGGGGGUUGGAAAGUUUCGGCGGUUGGGGAUGGGCUCGCGGCUUAUCAGCUUGUUGGUGGGGUAGUGGCUUACCAAGGCUUUGACGGGUAGCCGGCCUGAGAGGGUGACCGGCCACAUUGGGACUGAGAUACGGCCCAGACUCCUACGGGAGGCAGCAGUGGGGAAUAUUGCACAAUGGGCGGAAGCCUGAUGCAGCAACGCCGCGUGCGGGAUGACGGCCUUCGGGUUGUAAACCGCUUUCGCCUGGGACGAAGCGUGAGUGACGGUAAUGGGUGAAGAAGCACCGGCUAACUACGUG
rnacentral:rRNA from 1 species